UGUACAAAAAUUAAAUAAAUUUAUAAAAGUAUGAUUAGAAAAGUUUAUUAAAUUAAAAGAGUAUUAAAGCGAUAAAUAUUUAUUUCGUUGAGGUAAAAUUUCCGUUUGGUUCGUAUCGGUUUCACGAAUUGCAGACGUCUCCAUGGCGAAUAGGUCGAUCGACCCUCGAAUGACAUUCGAGUCUUGUUAUUUGAAAGGAUAGGAGGCAUAAACAUUCCUUCCUGUUUGAAAUAUUACAGACUGUUGUUUACCAUCCGAAUCCGGAGCAAAUAAAUUCAGAUUAAAGUUGAAAAAACGUAGCAGCAACAAUAUUUUUAUCCCAUGGACGUUUGAUUGGUCUGGAUCCACGAUGACGUUAGGAGUAAACAGGAAGAAAAUGGAUCAUACACAUACCGACGAAUCGCCAAAAGAUUUGGUUUUUGAAAAGAUGGAAGCAUUAAUUCAAAAAAUGCAACAUCCCGAAACUGGUGUACCCGUUCGUAGUAAGAGGCAGUUUCUGACAUCCAUACCGUGUGCCUUUCAAGG